UAUUUUAAAUGGAUUGGAGGAGCCCUGGAUGUAGUAGAACUGUUGAGAUUUGGUCUACUCAUUGUCAGAUUGUUUUUUAUUAUUUUGGUGUCUCAUAAUUGUUCUUCAAAGGCACAUGAACUGAGGAAGUUACUUUGCCUAGUGGUGGGUCAAACUAAGAGCCCCAAACUUCGCAAGGAGUUGAAUGCUUGUGGGUUACAACUAUUUCAAGAAAAACUAGAAAUUACUGCAGGUGGUUUUUUUAUAGUGGAUUCACGAUUUAUUUUUACGGUAGGUACAUUCGUAUGUU